GCCCCCGGCUCAACCGGGGAGGGUCAUUGGAAACUGGGGAACUUGAGUGCAGAAGAGGAGAGUGGAAUUCCACGUGUAGCGGUGAAAUGCGUAGAGAUGUGGAGGAACACCAGUGGCGAAGGCGACUCUCUGGUCUGUAACUGACGCUGAGGAGCGAAAGCGUGGGGAGCGAACAGGAUUAGAUACCCUGGUAGUCCACGCCGUAAACGAUGAGUGCUAAGUGUUAGGGGGUUUCCGCCCCUUAGUGCUGCAGCUAACGCAUUAAGCACUCCGCCUGGGGAGUACGGUCGCAAGACUGAAACUCAAAGGAAUUGACGGGGGCCCGCACAAGCGGUGGAGCAUGUGGUUUAAUUCGAAGCAACGCGAAGAACCUUACCAGGUCUUGACAUCCUCUGACAAUCCUAGAGAUAGGACGUCCCCUUCGGGGGCAGAGUGACAGGUGGUGCAUGGUUGUCGUCAGCUCGUCUCGUGAGAUGUUGGGUUAAGUCCCGCAACGAGCGCAACCCUUGAUCUUACUUGCCAGCAUUCAGUUGGGCACUCUAA
rnacentral:rRNA from 1 species